GACGAACGCUGGCGGCGUGCCUAAUACAUGCAAGUCGAACGAGAGCGACCGGUGCUUGCACUGGUCAAUCUAGUGGCGAACGGGUGAGUAACACGUGGGUAACCUGCCCAUCAGAGGGGGAUAACAUUCGGAAACGGAUGCUAAAACCGCAUAGGUCCUUUAACCGCAUGGUUGAAGGAGGAAAAGAGGCGCAAGCUUCUGCUGAUGGAUGGACCCGCGGUGCAUUAGCUAGUUGGUGAGGUAACGGCUCACCAAGGCCGUGAUGCAUAGCCGACCUGAGAGGGUGAUCGGCCACAUUGGGACUGAGACACGGCCCAAACUCCUACGGGAGGCAGCAGUAGGGAAUCUUCCGCAAUGGACGCAAGUCUGACGGAGCAACGCCGCGUGAGUGAAGAAGGUUUUCGGAUCGUAAAACUCUGUUGUUAGAGAAGAACAAGUGCUAGAGUAACUGUUAGCGC
rnacentral:rRNA from 1 species